ACUUCAGACACUGAAUUGAUUCCUUUGAAAGAAAAUGGUUGAAUGACAGGGCUGCAUUUACAGCAAAAUGAGCACAAGAGUAGCUGCAGGAAGGGAGGGAAAAAAACUGCUAAAGCUUCUCUUACGGCGAAGAAUCCCUUGAGAGCAGCCCUGUGGAGAAUGGCUUGGGGGUCCUGAUAGAUGAAAAGCUGGACGUCAAAACCUCACUGAAGAAAUUUCAGAGUAGUUUUGAGAUAGCAGAUAGCAUUUAACUACUUAAUCAAUACUCAAUCAAUACCUUAAUCAAAGCAAACCAAAAUCACUAUCUAAAUCCACAAUCAAUAGGUCAUGCUCACAAUGGCAUAAAAAAAAAAAAAAAAAAGAAGGAAAUAAAAUGAAAAAUGGGGUUAAGCAACAGAUCGUGUAAUGAAUCCAAGAAUCAACAAGUAUGUUAUUGUCAGACAAACAGUUCACAGAUGAUAAAACCAGAAGGGAGCAUCAUGAACAUCCAUUAUAACUUGCGGCAGGAUAUCACUAUAGCCCAAAGCCAAAAUGCAUUACAUUAGAAACAUCAGCUCUGUGAACAGCAGAACAAAUGAAGAUUGCUUUCCUACUGCCUCUCCCUUGCUUGCUCAACCUUAGCUACGCUCCAGCAAACAGAACCCAAAGUUUUGUACAGCUGCGUUUAUCUGGCAUAUUCAAGAUGAUGCAGUAAGAUGGUGGCAGAACGGGAAGAAAAACCUAACAAGAAGAGCAAGUGCCUGACCUACUACCAGGGCAGGCUCAUGACAGAGACCGAAGACACUUCUUGCCAUUUCCAAAAGGGAUCUGAAGUCUCUCAACUGUACUUGGAGCCUCCACUGAUGUCUCUGAAGUUAGUUGUGAACUUAAAUACCUGGAAGAGCAAUGUGCUCCAUGCAGAGGAUGCUUAUAGGUCUGCCAGUUCUGGAAUGGAUGAAGGGAUGACAGCACUCUCACUCAUGACUCACUUGGUUUGCUCUGUGGCCUGUAGCUGGGAGCCCAGGUCAGGCGCCUGACAAAACUGUCUUGAGAGAAGUAUGAGGUCCUGUACAUCUGUCUUCACACAAAGACAAAACAAACAGGACUCAAUAGGAACUGAGCAAUGUCUUGGCUGGAAGUUCUGGAACUGUGCUAUACUACAGUAAGCAAAAGAAAACCUUUAGAAUUUUUUUCAGAUGGAAUUGGAAAAAAACAUUUUUCCAAGGCAAGAAAUGCCCCAAAGAAUGCGAUUCAGAUUUCUGACAUUAGGGACAAAAUUACCUUUCUAGAAGUCUUCUUUUGUUCUAAAGGUAAAACUCUAAUAAAAAUGUGUUUAUCACUCGUGUAAGUUUUUUAGAGGUGCAGUAAAACCAAACAUAUGGCAAUGAUUUAUUUUAAAGGGCCAUGCUCAUGGUUUUCAGAGACAAAAGUCUGAAAUUUCUUGUUUGUGUGCUUUCCCUUAUUCAAGACCGAGUUGCAGAAUUGUCAUAAACCCUGAAUAGAGAUACAUGUCGGCUAUUGAUGGAUGAGGGCUAUCUGAGUCAGGAACCCACUUUUCUCUAGUAUAGGAUGAGAGCAGCCAAACAGUCCCAGAUCCAUCUGGCUCCCCUGAGAUGCCUGUUAAAUCAGUGAUAACACCAGUAAUUUGGACAAGAGAGUAAGCAAAACUAUUUCAGCCCCACUUGCUGCUCCAGCGAGCCGAUGAUAUCCUGAUAUUUAUGCAUGCAAGUCCCUGUGGGCAAGCAUAUGCACAUGGAGAAAAAGGAACAUUACCUUCUACAGGGAGCGUGAGGCACCCAGCAGUACACACCAACACAAAGCACAACAUGGGUCCAGCCACCCUCUGCUGCAGCCCACACUGACCUACCAGACAAAUACAAGGCUAACAUGCUCACUGUGCAGUUCUAGGCUGGAGAAAACAAAAUGCUGCCUUGUCUAUAUUUUCAGUUACAGCUUUGUUUCCAGAGGUAGCUCACUUUGUUGUUAGAGUGAAGACUGUAUUAUCUCCAAAGCCAGAGUGCUACUCAUAAAUAUGCAUUUACUUUGAGCAUGGUAUCUUAGGUAACCACAGUUAACUGCUUAAGCUGUAGAACCUAACUGGGGAGCACGGCUGCAAACACAUGCCGAGCUCCUUACUUAACCAACAUUCACAAGCCUAGUAAAACUGUCAUAAUCCUGAGGACUGAAAACAGAAAGAAAGCAGAGCAAAUCACGGACCUUGCUCAACUCCAAGAAAUAUGACAGAAGCCAUCAGGAACAUCCCUGCUGCCACUAGCAGGCAGUGGGACAGCAAAGCAUUACUGAAUACUCCAAACUUGUGAUAAUUCAUUUCAGUUAACAGUUGACAAACUCUGCACAUCACUGUGUCCAGUAAGAUAUGUAUUUAUGACAAAAGACUUACUGAUUUGGAGGAAAAGAGACAGGUAUUUCUAUUUACUCUGCUCCUAUUUCCGUAUUUCUGACCUGUAGCAUUAGAAGUAUUUUCUCGCUCCAGAUCCCUUAUUUCUUAUGCUCACAUACGCUGUAUUGAUUCUUUCUGUAAAAUGGGACACAGACUUGAACAGACUGCCCAGGGAAAUGGUGGAGUCACUGACCCUGGAGGUUUUCAAGAAACAUAUAGACAUGGCACUUACAGACAGAGUUAGUAGGUAUGGUGGUUAUAGGCCAACAUUUGGACAAGGAUAAUGUGACUUAGACAAAUUCAGGUCCGGGAUACAAACAUGCUGAACACUAUCACGUCUUUCAUCUUUAGCUGUCUGGAAGUAAGGCAUCUCACUAAGCUUUUCACAUAAAUUCAAUUUACAUUUACAAAAUCAUAGAAUGGAUUAGGUCCCAAUCCCCUGCCAUUGGAAGGAUUGCCACCCACUACUUCAGGUUGCACAGGGCCCCAUUCAAGCUGGCCUUGAAAUCCUCAACAAUUGGGGCAUCUACAAUUUUUCUGGGCAGGCUAUGCCAGGUCCUCAGCAUGCUGAGUAAAAAAUUUCUUCCUAACAUCUAACCUAAAUUUCCCUUCAUUUAAUUUGAAGUCAUACCCACUUGUCCUAUUAUUAUUAGACCAUACAUAAUGUCCGUCUCCCUCAUGCUUACAAGCUCUCUUAAGUUCUGGAAAUGUGCAAAGAGAUCUCCCUGAAGCCUUCUCUUCUCUGAGCUGAACAAGCCCAGCUCCCUCAGCCUGUCUUCAUAGGAGCGGUGCUCCAGUCCUCGGAUCAUCUUCGUGGUCCUUCUCUGGACCCACUCCAAAAAGACCACAUCUUUCCUGUGUUGGAGGCCCCAGAUCUGGGCAUAGUACUCCAGAUGGGGCAUUGUGAGGAUAGAAUCGAGGGAAAGAAUUCCCUCCCUUUCCUUGCUGGCCACCCCCCUGUUGAUGCAGCCCAGAAUACAGUUGGCUCUCAAGGCGGCAAGCGCGCACUCCUGGCUCAUGCUCAGCUUUCUGGCCAUCAGGACCCCCAAAUCCUUCUCUACAGAGCUGCUCUCAAUGAGUUCAUCUCCCAGUUUGUACACAUAUCUGGGACCCGACUCACAUGCAACACUCUGCAUUUGGCUUCAUUCAGUGGCUUCAGAAUUACCAUGCCCACCUGCUGGCAGGACCAGCUGCAGUGUCUCCCAUUGGGACGCCCACUGCUUGGUACAGCCAUGCCUGCCUCUGGGCAGUGAAAAGGGCUAUUGGUUUCCCCAGCUCCUCUCAUGGGAUCCAAAGACCUUGCUUUCCUUAGUGCCAGGAACCUCAUCCAAGACAGGGACAGCACCUGCUAAAGGAGCUGGAAACUGCUGUCAGAAGUUGGAACGAGCUUCUGUAAUUUAGCAUCAUCUCUGUAAUGAGAGCAAGUCACAUCUGAGGAGAAAAAAAUCAGCGUUUGCCUGCCCCAUGGUUAGCACACUACCCACUCUGGAAUAAGGAUGGUUUCUCAUACCUCAUUUGAAGUGAAUGGUUUGCAUUAAGCUUUAAAGAGAAAGCUAAUCUCAGAAAGCUAACCUAGUUUGUGAGUACUUCGGUCUCUCCUAUUUGUGGGGGAUAAAAAAGCG